rnacentral:lncRNA from 1 species
GCAUUAUGCAGAGAAGGCCAAGAAGCCCUCACUGAUGCCCAAAUCCUCCAUUGUCUCGGAUGCCUAACCUUAGGGUGAUGAGACAGACAUGGCCCAGAUAGACUGGUGUGCAUUCUAUCCAACUGGACAGGUUGGUUUGAAGGAUGUCUAAGCUCCUGCCUGUUCAUUACAGUAUCUGAAAGAUGCAAAUCCUGUGUGUGGUGGAGGAUGACGAAGUUGGCGUUGACUUCUUAGAAGAAGAGGAGCACGGGCAGAGGGUCCACAUCACAGCUUUCAACAAGAUCUGAAAGUCUAAGUGUGGUUCAUGUGUGUGCUCAGGGGGAACUACUGAGUUUAAAGCCUGAGACUCUGAAAAACAAACAAAUAACAAAGAACAAAGUAAACGCAUAACAGCUGAAAA